AAUAGAUACCCCGGUAGUCCACGCCGUAAACGAUGAGUGCUAAGUGUUAGAGGGUUUCCGCCCUUUAGUGCUGCAGCUAACGCAUUAAGCACUCCGCCUGGGGAGUACGGCCGCAAGGCUGAAACUCAAAGGAAUUGACGGGGGCCCGCACAAGCGGUGGAGCAUGUGGUUUAAUUCGAAGCAACGCGAAGAACCUUACCAGGUCUUGACAUCCUCUGCCAACCCUAGAGAUAGGGCGUUCCCCUUCGGGGGACAGAGUGACAGGUGGUGCAUGGUUGUCGUCAGCUCGUGUCGUGAGAUGUUGGGUUAAGUCCCGCAACGAGCGCAACCCUUGAUCUUAGUUGCCAGCAUUCAGUUGGGCACUCUAAGGUGACUGCCGGUGACAAACCGGAGGAAGGUGGGGAUGACGUCAAAUCAUCAUGCCCCUUAUGACCUGGGCUACACACGUGCUACAAUGGAUGGUACAAAGAGCUGCGAACCCGUGAGGGUAAGCGAAUCUCAUAAAGCCAUUCCCAGUUCGGA
rnacentral:rRNA from 1 species